AUUCGUCGGUCGUCGUCGUCGGCGGCGGCGUUGCUGUUGCAACCAGCAUAAUUCUUUCUUCGAUUAAUUUUGUCCUAUUACCACCAUGAAAUUAUAAAUAUUAUGAUGACUAGAUAAAAUAAUAUUAACGCGUCCACGUUGUGUUGUUCUUAGAUUCCAUUGUUUGAUUAUGUCUCGAUAAAAUGGAAAGUCAAAAAAGCGGAAAUGAAUGAUGGGUAAUAUUUAGUAGCGGCAAUGACGUGGCCGGAAAUGACCGAAUCAUGACGUGGCCGUAAAUGAUCGAAUCAUGACGUGGCAAACACGUAGUAGCACGGGAAAACCAAUCGGAUGCUCGAAGAACGGAAAUCGAACGCGUUGUCCUCGUGAUGCUUGCUCGGCCGCCAUGACGCAAAGGAUACUGUGCUUGCUUUCCUUCUACAUGGCGACCUAGCCGACGGCUUUAUUUUCUCUCGACGAAUGCAAUUGCUGUUUCUCUCUCUCUUCUCUUUCAUACACACACAUACAGCAGCAGCAGGCAGACACAUAUAUACAUAUUUUCUGUCUCACUCUCUCGCUAAGAGCGUUCCUCUCCUCUUUCUCGAACGUGGGGCUGGCUUCUCCCGCGACGGUACACGGGUGUCCACCACCUCCAUCGUCUCUUCCUCUCCUCCUCUUCCUCUCUCACUCCCUUUUCCAUGUCGUUCUUUCGCGAUCGGAGUGGAAUGCGCUCUAUGAGAGGAGAGGGAGAUGGAGAGAGAGGGAGGAAAUAGGAAGAUGCUUGGUGAGAAGAGUCGCCCGAGACCCAUACACACACACACAUCAUACAUAGCGCAGGCAUAACACACGUGGAUAUAGAAAAAUAAGUAUAACAUGGCGAAGGGUAUAUACGUGGGCAAGGUAAGGUAAAACGAGACAAGGCAAGCAAGCAGACAAAUAAGCAGGUAAGCAAGUAGGUAGGCAAGGCAAGCCAAGCCAAGGUAAGACAAGGCAAGGCAAGGCAAGCAGGCAGGCAGGCAGGAAACAAGCCAGGGCUAUGCCAUCGGAGAGGAGCACGGGCAGGGCUGUUGUUUACACCCCCACCUCGUUGGGUUAGAGGCAGAGAUGCCACACGGAGGGGCCUCCGAGACCUCGGCGGGCACCCACCACCACGCAAUUUCCAACCCCACCAGCCUCUCAACCACUGUCCGCACCUCCGACCAACCCCACCAAAGCCUGCCCGAGCCAAGCCGUCAGCCACGACGAGGGCCCCGCGACGAUUUUAGUGUCUUGGGAUCUUCGAGAAAAACGUGACAAAAGGUGCAUUACGACGAACUAUUAUUAUAAGGAGUGUGAACGAGUGAGAGUGUGGCGAGGAGAACAACAAAGCGAGCUAACGAGUGAGUGAACGACGAACAACGAAAGAGGAAGGAAAAAAAAGAAAGCAUCCAAAAGAGAAACUGGGGAAAGAGAAACGCGCCGUGCUGAGGUUCAAUGGAGAAAAAAAAAAAGAAGAAGAUUCUUCUACUUCCUUUCCAUUCUUUCUUGUCCUACUUACCCCGCACGAAGAAGUAGUAGACAGAGAGAAAAAGAGAGAACGCGGACGCCUGCCUUUGGCGAUGUUCUUCUCUUCCGAAACCCACCGACGUCGUCGUCGUCCUCGGUCACAACGAUCUAACAAUGUUCCCUUGUGUUAAUACAAAUUUAUCAAGACUGUUCGAACGAGCAGUUAAAGGCAGUUUGUUGCUGGCUUGAAAAUGAACGAACGAACGAACGUACGGGCGAGCGAACGACCGACCGAGCGAACGAACCGAGUGUACGUAUGUGUAUGCACGUACGUACGUACGUACGUACGUCCGUUUGUUUGUCCGUCCGCACGUAUGCGCGUCUGUCUCUUCUCUCAGUCGUGUUCCGUUCUGUUCUCUCGAAUUCUCGCCUCCUUGCGUACUCAAUCUCCUCCUCAGCGCGUAAAACGUCGCCGUUGCGAGGUGUACUUUCUCAUUUCUACGCUAAGCUGCUUGCUCGUUCGUUUUUCCUCGUUCGUACCCAGCUAGUAGCGUCGUUUGUCGUUGUCGUUGUCGUCGCGGUAUUACUAUUACACUAUACUACCACUACCACCACUACUACUACUACACUACUACCGCCACCACACCACUGUUCUCAGCAACGUCCCCAGAGCACCGCCGUCGCCACCACCGUUCUCUCUCUCUAUUCCUUCUUCCUCCUACUGCUGCUGCUGCUGUUACUAUUAACUACUAUUCCUUUUUCGAUACUAGUGAUGCUACUGAUGGUAGUGGUGGUGCUGCUGUUGCUUCUCUCGUGACACGUCAUGCGAAACACGCGCGUUCGAACUACACUCGGAUUUGACGAAUUUGUGCGAUUUCUUCGAUCAAAUUUACAUGAAUAAAAAAGAAAGAGAAAGAGAGAGACAGACAAACGGAAAAAACCAAAAAAUAGAUUUCGAAACGAGGACGAUCACGCGACACGAUUAUUUGGAAAUAGAGAGAGAGAGAGAGAAAAAAAGA